AACGUAGGGGGCCAGCGUUGUCCGGAAUUACUGGGCGUAAAGAGCGCGUAGGCGGUUUGGUUAGCGGAGGGUGCAAUCCAGAGGCUCAACCUCUGAACUGCUCUCCGAACUGCCAGACUUGAGUACGGGAGAGGGUAGUGGAAUUCCUGGUGUAGCGGUGGAAUGCGUAAAUAUCAGGAGGAACACCCGUGGCGAAGGCUGCUACCUGGAACGUUACUGACGCUGAGGCGCGAAAGCUAGGGGAGCGAACGGG
rnacentral:rRNA from 1 species